CAUAUCUCUCUUACGGGAAGGAUGAGAAGCUUCGACUAAGGUUCGAUUCGAGCGAAAGCGAGAAAGCGUUGCCAACGGCAACGACCCGAAGGGCGAAGCGCGCAGCGCUGAGUCAUCCUUCCCCCACCACCA
rnacentral:sRNA from 3 species